rnacentral:rRNA from 1 species
AUGAGCGCCCUCGAGUUGUCAAUACGUAAAUAUGAUGAGCAACCAGACAAGAGUGUGGUCCGACCUGAGCUAGGUCUUAGUUUUGACUCGCUAGGGGGGGCGUACGAUUUCUAUAACUUGUAUUUGUGGGAAAUCGGGUUUGGCAUAAGAUAUGGGAAAAGCAGGCUCAAUGCCGAGACGACAAAAAGCAUGCAGCAGAUAGUUUGUGGGUGUUCGGGGAAACCAGACGCUGAAAACAGCAGGUCCUGCAGGUGCAAGUGCCCAGCUCUGAUCAGGCUGCUAUGUGCAUCAGACAACAGUUGGUACAUAACAGAGCACCAGGCGAGCCACAAUCAUUCGAUGUCGCUUACAAUGGGAGAGAAAGUGCAUUGGCCGUCUCAUAAACACAUAGACGUGUAUACCAAGGAUUUGAUAAGAUAG